UUUAGCAUAACAUGAUAGUGAAACUCAGCUAUGAGCCGGGGUCGAUGUACGACCGGCGACUGUCCAAACCGGAUAGCCUAGCCGGCUUCACUGCGCCAUGGCUACUUUGUUUUCAAAUGUUAGAAUUCUUCCACGCCACACUACUACCCCACACCACAGAAAAAAAGCAUUGAUUGAACAAGACACGAGAACACGGCCAGCGUACUGAAGGACGCGCGGGUGCGAAUUCAAGAGGGAGCAGGAUGGAUACAUUUGUCAAGGGAGUGAAUGAGAUAGAAUACCGGAAGGAUGUAGCUACUAUCAAUGCAUCCAACAUACUUUUGUAUUAACCCGUAUAUUGCCAGCUGUUUGUUAGAUUUAGUGGAAAAUAAUGUUGGCCUCAGACAACUUUCAACUGCUAUAAAAACAAAUUUAAGUAACUGAACGGUAAAUAUUAAUCAUUCAAAACACUAUGCAUUAUCAUAUGUAAAUUAAAUAAUUUGGUAUUAUAAAUUCUAAGUGUGUAUACGUUGAUAAUGAACCUUUUAACAGCAUGCCACCAAAUUUUUUUUUGUAUUUAAGCAGUUAAAAUAUUUAGUCACUCGGAAUCAUUUCGAUUACAUGAAAUGAAAACUUUUUUAUUAACUUCAAAAUAUUAUUUGAUAUUUUCUAUUUAUCUGGGUAAAAUUAUACUGCGAUUUUACGUCAUUCGAUAAGUUUUGUUUUAUAUUCAUAAUAAUAUUUUCUGUAAUUAUCUACAUGAUUUAAUUAUGUGCCUGGCAAAAUUGUGAGAAAAAAAUAAAAGGCUCAAAUACUGUAA